GCCUCUCUCUCUCACUCUCCCCAUCGGUUCGUCGCCGAUCCGUCGCCCUGCCAGAGCCGCCUCUCCGGCGGCGCCUGCUCCUUCCUCUCGUCCCUCUCUCUCUCAUCUCUUCCCUUCUCUCCUCACAAUCACACCGCCGUCGCCGCUGCGGAUCGCCGUCAUCGCGGGUACGCCCCAGCCGCCGUCCCCACUGCCGAUCUGCCGCCACCGUCGCCGACUCCUCCUCUCCCUCUCCCUUUCUUUCUCUCCAGGGUCUGCCGCCGCCGCCGCCACUGUGCAUGCACAGGCGACGGCUUCAGCCUCCUCCGCGCCUCGCACCGCCGGCCGCCGCCACAACCGAGACCUCCCCCAGCCGCCGACAUCGAUUCUCGAUAGAUUCUAAAGAACGAAAAUAGUGACGAAUUUUUGGAGCGUGGGCUGUCACUGUCGGCGGCGGAGGGCUGAGCUUGCUGCCGGAAGCUUCUCCGGCAGACUCCUCUGUCCUUUCAAGCUAAGUUUCUAUUAUUCUUUGAUAAUCUGCAUUUUUUUUUAUGUUCUUGGGAUGCUAUAAAAACUAUAUUAUUGAGGCUCUAAAUUGUCUAUAUGAAAUAUAUAUCAAAAGCUAAAUUGGUGUUCUGUAAAUUCUGGAUACUAAAUUUGUAUUUUGGCAUAGAAAUGUUUUGCCUAUAUGAAAUGUUUCAAUGUGUGGGAAAAGUGAUGUGUGGGUACUCACCUUUGUGUGAUUGUGAAAAAAAUUGACUUGUUGAAUUUGUCUCCCUUGUGAUAUGCAAUGGUCCUGAUGGAUUGCCUCCUUCCCCUGCUUUGGCUUUGUUGGGAGAAUGAUGUGGAAUAAUUGUUUAUGUGUGGUUUGUGAAGGGAAUUUAGGAUAUUGAUGAUGAUGUGGGUGAGUGACAACAAAAUUUGUAUACACGUACAUAUACCUAAUAAGAUGCAAGUGGAGACCUACAUUUUAAAAUAUUACAGAAUAGGAUAUGAUUUUACAAUAUGAUUUUAGGAUAUGCUUUGUCAGAGGAUAAGAUAUGAUUUUAGGAUAUGAUUUGAUAUGAUUUCUUUUGCCAUUCAAUUAAUGCAGCAUUUAAUGCUUUUGAUACACAAGAUCGGCCCUUUCUUCUUCUUUUUUAAUUUGUUUAUUAAAUUAAUUAUUUAAGUAUUUGUUCACUUAUUCUUUUAAUUUGGUGUAGGUAUAAUCGGUUUAAGUUCGUGGCCGUCCGCGUUGAAGUACCCGAUUUCUUAAAACAUACAAUGUAUAAAUUAUAUUUUGUUGGACUUUUGUUGGAUGUAUCGGACAUUAAAAUAAAUUAAUUUUGGGGUCUUAAUUAUUAUUAUUUUUUUUUCA